rnacentral:pre_miRNA from 1 species
GGACUAUGCUGCAGCCAAGGAUGACUUGCCGAUCGAUCUGAUCCAUCUUCAGAUCACUGCUGAUCGCCCAUCGGCAAGUUGUUCUUGGCUACACCGUGGCCCCU